rnacentral:rRNA from 1 species
UACAGAGGUCUCAAGCGUUGUUCGGAUUCAUUGGGCGUAAAGGGCGCGUAGGCGGCUUGGCAAGUGGAUGGUGAAAUCCCUCGGCUUAACCGAGGAACUGCCGUCCAAACUGCUUUGCUUGAGACCGGGAGAGGUGAGUGGAAUUCCCAGUGUAGCGGUGAAAUGCGUAGAUAUUGGGAGGAACACCAGAGGUGAAGACGGGUUGCUGGGCCGACACUGACGCUGAUAGCGCGAAAGCCAGGGGAGCAAACGGG